AGAGAGAGACAUGCGCGCAUAUCAAUAAGCGGAGGAAAAGAAACUAACAAGGAUUCCCUUAGUAACGGCGAGUGAAGCGGGAAGAGCUCAAAUUUGAAAUCUUCAAGGUUUUACCUUGACGAAUUGUAGUUUAAAGAAGUGUUUUCUGCUGAAGUUUUGGUAAAAGUUCUUUGGAAUAGGACAUCAUAGAGGGUGAGAAUCCCGUAUUUGACCAUUAUUUCCAGCUUUGUGAUACACUUUCAAAGAGUCGGAUUGUUUGGGAAUGCAGUCCAAAAUGGGUGGUAAAUUUCAUCUAAAGCUAAAUAUUGGCGAGAGACCGAUAGCGAACAAGUACCGUGAGGGAAAGAUGAAAAGAACUUUGAAAAGAGAGUUAAACAGUACGUGAAAUUGUCAAAAGGGAAGCGUUUGACACCAGUGUUGUUUUCUCGAAAAUCAAUUAAAAAUGGCUCGAUUUGUAUUGUUGAGACCUUAAAAGCUCACUGUACAUUUUUCGUGUCUUUUUUAAUGCACUUUUCGUUUAACAAGUCAACAUCAGUUUCUUUUGUUGUAAAAGGGUCACUGGAAGGUGGCUUUCUUUUCGGAGAAAGUGUUUAUAGCCUUUGGCCUCUGCAAUCGGAAGAGACUGAGGUCUGCAGCGUAGACUCUUCGGGGUUAGAUACAUUUGUGCUAAGUUAUAGCUUUUUAUAGACAACUUGUUGACUAUAAUUAGUCUUGUAGCUUACUCGCUUAUGCUAUUUUACCUACGCUUAGGAUGUUGAAGAUGUAGCACAUCAU
rnacentral:rRNA from 1 species